UACGGGGGGGGCAAGCGUUGUUCGGAAUUACUGGGCGUAAAGGGCUCGUAGGCGGCCAACUAAGUCAGACGUGAAAUCCCUCGGCUUAACCGGGGAACUGCGUCUGAUACUGGAUGACUUGAGGAUCGGAGAGGCAAGGGGAAUUCCACGUGUAGCGGUGAAAUGCGUAGAGAUGUGGAGGAACACCUGUGGCGAAGGCGCCUUGCUGGCCGAUUUCUGACGCUGAGGCGCGAAAGCGUGGGGAGCAAACAGG
rnacentral:rRNA from 1 species